rnacentral:misc_RNA from 1 species
UUGAAAUUUUAGUUUAAUUUGUUAUCAUUGAAUAAAAAUUGGUAAUUAUGUCCCUUAGUAUCUGUUCACCUUUGCAAUUUGAUAAAUCAUCAUGUUCACCCUAUCUGCUAUAUUUUUUGUAGGAGAGAACAAAAAGCUAUUAUUCAUGUUAGAAAUAAUAAGGAAAAAGAAAUUAAAGGAAGAAAAACUCUCAAAUUAGGGGCAUUAAAGGAGGAAAAAUGAACAAAUAUUAAAUAGGUUAGCUCUGCAAAGAAAGAAUAAUCAUUAUAUUGUCUUUUCUCUGUGACUGAACCAUAGAAUGUCACUUAUUUGGAGAUCUACAGAGGAAUUACAUGCAAUCAAGUUCCAAUAAUUUCCAAGUUCCAAUAAUGUCCACCAGUAUCUAUUUCCCUAUGUGCUAUAUCAUUUUUUAUUUCAUUGACCCCUGAUUCUACUGAUCUCCAUUUCAAUGAUAAGAACUUAAGAAUCAGUAAAUAACUUUGUUGUCUCUGUUAUUUUUUUUAUAAGACUAUGCUGCUGCAACAAUGUGAUGGAUGAGAUCCCCAUUUCUUGUUUAUUCAAGAAACUAGCCAACUUGUUGCUUUGACAAAAUUCUCCAUCUCACAUACAAGAUGAUAGUUUCCACCACUUUGUAAUUCAUUUCCAAACCCCCACUCCAUGUGACUCUUCCUUCUAUAGAUAGAUCUAUACCAUAUUUCAUAAAAUUACCAUCCUCCUAAGAUUGUCUUUUUCCAACAAAAAAUUCCAACUUUCCAACAAAAACUUGGUAAGAGAUUUCUCACUGCUAGUUUUAUCACAACCCAUAUCACUUAAGAAAAUUUACACUCUUCUUCCUCAUUACUUCACAUCUUUGUUGAAUAUUCUUUAUCCUUAGGGAAAUUGUGCAAGGAAUGGGUAAGAGGAAUAUAAACUAGAUGUUUUGUUAAGUCCUCUACCCUUGGAAAAUGUCCUCUCCACCUACUAGUUUCUUCUCAAAUUUCUCCAGAAUUCAACCUUAGUGACUCAUGUUUGAACUUGGCCUGCAAAAGGAGGUUUAGGUAUAUCAAAGGAAGGUUUAGUUAUAUCAAAAAGAGAUGAAAAUCACUUGCGUAAUAACUUUGCAUUUGAUGUAAUAACAUAUUAAAUCAUUGGCAGUCUGGAUUUAAUAUCAUCUAUUUUUGUUUCAUUUUUUUUCCCAUCAAAUUUAUGCUCUUCUAUUGGUGACCUGCAUUUGCUUUGUUGUAGGGAAAGAAGUCGCUCUAUG